rnacentral:rRNA from 1 species
UACGUAGGUGGCAAGCGUUAUCCGGAAUUAUUGGGCGUAAAGCGCGCGUAGGCGGUUUCUUAAGUCUGAUGUGAAAGCCCACGGCUCAACCGUGGAGGGUCAUUGGAAACUGGGGAACUUGAGUGCAGAAGAGGAAUGUGGAACUCCAUGUGUAGCGGUGGAAUGCGUAGAUAUAUGGAAGAACACCAGUGGCGAAGGCGACAUUCUGGUCUGUAACUGACGCUGAUGUGCGAAAGCGUGGGGAUCAAACAGG